AUAGGACAAUUUGGAUCUAAUGAAAUACCUGUUUAUGGCAGUUGACUCAGAGUUCUUUUGAGAAGGAAGUCAUGUCUCUGGUUUCAUCUGCUGACUUGUAAGUUAAAUUGGUGUUGUCUUACAGAGCUACAAGGGACUACAGAAAUAUUGGUAAGGGACCACCACCCAUGUGUGAGGAUAAUCCCAGUGGUUUUGAAGUAGAAAAUUUGUGGAAUACAACAUGCAGUCGAUUGACUCAAGGAAAGUGAGGCAAGGAGAGACAGGUCUUCUACUCAGAGUGACAUGGAAUGGUGGUCCACUGCUUUAUACCCAGGGAGUUUGACUCAAGAGUCCAUGCUCUAUGAAAUCAUCUCUUUCAAUUCUAACAUUUAUCAGCUGUGUGUCCUGGAUAGAUCACUUCAUCUCUCUGCUCCUUAGAGUUCUCAUAGGUAAGUGGAAGUUAUAAUACAACUAUUGUAUGAGGUAUAAUUGGGCAUUGAAGUGAUUUGCUAUGAACAGUGUACUGCAUAGGAGUUCAGAGAAGAAAGCUAGAUUAGAGAGAUUAGUGAAAGUUCAAUGAAGGAAUUGAGACUUGAAUUGUAUCCCACUAUGGCAUACGGUUGAAAAGUUUAUGAAACAGGUUAGGCCAAAAGGUAGUAAUGUCUGUAGCUAUUUCAACUUGCUUUCUUGCUGGU